UUGGGGAAACUACCAUCAGCAGGGGCUUUCAGAGGAGGGCCGAGUGGGAAUGGCCUUUGGUUUAGCUCUAAGGUCCCUUUUCUAACCUCUCCGACAAGGUAAAGACUAAGGGACAAGCGCGAGGCGGCACCGAAAACAGCAAGUGAGGAAGGCGAAUAAAGCCAGGCAGAAAUCAGCAUGAGAAGAUGAUCAAAAUUCAUAUAUUGAAACAUGAAAAGGUUGAAGAAGAAAUAAAGAAGCACGGAAGUAAUAACAUGGGAUUAUCAGAAAACCUGACUGAUUGUGCUGCUGCUAGCAAUGGUGAUGAUGGACUAAUUCCACAAAGAGCAGAAAACCUGAAAAUCAGCAAUUUCCUAGGACGGAGAAUGAAGAGUAUCAUAGGGUUGAAGGUGGCAUGGCCUGUAUGCUGCAGGUUUUUCUGAGGAAAAACAUUCAUUUCCAUGUCUUCCUGUGAUCUUAUGCAUGCAUUGGAUUACACGGGAC